rnacentral:tRNA from 1 species
ACUAGGAUAGCUUAAAUACAAAGCAUAACAUUGAAGCUGUUAAGAUGGGGUUAACCUCUUAGUA